rnacentral:rRNA from 1 species
UACAGAGGUCGCAAGCGUUGUUCGGAUUCAUUGGGCGUAAAGGGCGUGUAGGUGGCGCGCUAAGUCGGGCGUGAAAUUUCGGAGCUUAACUCCGAAACUGCAUUCGAUACUGGCGUGCUUGAGGACUGGAGAGGAGACUGGAAUUCAUGGUGUAGCAGUGAAAUGCGUAGAGAUCAUGAGGAAGACCAGUGGCGAAGGCGGGUCUCUGGACAGUUCCUGACACUGAGACACGAAGGCCAGGGGAGCAAACGGG